UACGUAGGGGGCAAGCGUUGUCCGGAUUUAUUGGGCGUAAAGAGCGUGUAGGCGGCCUGAAAGGUCAGCUGUGAAACUCGAGGCUCAACCUCGAGACGUCGGUUGAAACCAUCUGGCUAGAGUCCGGAAGAGGAGUGUGGAAUUCCCGGUGUAGGCGGUGAAAUGCGCAGAUAUCGGGAAGAACACCCGUGGCGAAGGCGGCACUCUGGGACGGUACUGGACGCUGAGACGGCGAAAGCAUGGGGAGCGAACAGG
rnacentral:rRNA from 1 species